rnacentral:pre_miRNA from 1 species
AAUAAACUAAUUUUUCACUUUUUAUCUUCAAUUUUUGAAUCUUUGUUUUAUUUAAAUUUUUUUUACGAUUGAUAUUCUUGUUUUUAUUAGAUGAUAAAUCAUAAAUAGUACUUUAUGUGUGACUAAUUUUUUUCUAAUUUUCUGAAAAUUUUUCAAAUAAGACGGAUGGUCAAACGUUGGACACGGAAACCGAAG